rnacentral:rRNA from 1 species
AACGAACGCUGGCGGCAUGCCUAACACAUGCAAGUCGAACGAAGCCUUCGGGCUUAGUGGCGCACGGGUGCGUAACGCGUGGGAAUCUGCCCUUUGGUUCGGAAUAACAGUUGGAAACGACUGCUAAUACCGGAUGAUGACGAAAGUCCAAAGAUUUAUCGCCAGAGGAUGAGCCCGCGUAGGAUUAGCUAGUUGGUGUGGUAAAGGCGCACCAAGGCGACGAUCCUUAGCUGGUCUGAGAGGAUGAUCAGCCACACUGGGACUGAGACACGGCCCAGACUCCUACGGGAGGCAGCAGUGGGGAAUAUUGGACAAUGGGCGAAAGCCUGAUCCAGCAAUGCCGCGCGGGUGAUGAAGGCCCUAGGGUUGUAAAGCUCUUUUACCCGGGAUGAUAAUGACAGUACCGGGAGAAUAAGCCCCGGCUAACUCCGUGCCAGCCGCCGCCGUAA